rnacentral:rRNA from 1 species
CGGUAACAGGAAGCACUUCUCCUUCCUGACGAGUGGCGGACGGGUGAGUAAUGUCUGGGAAACUGCCUGAUGGAGGGGGAUAACUACUGGAAACGGUAGCUAAUACCGCAUAACGUCGCAAGACCAAAGAGGGGGACCUUCGGGCCUCUUGCCAUCGGAUGUGCCCAGAUGGGAUUAGCUAGUAGGUGGGGUAACGGCUCACCUAGGCGACGAUCCCUAGCUGGUCUGAGAGGAUGACCAGCCACACUGGAACUGAGACACGGUCCAGACUCCUACGGGAGGCAGCAGUGGGGAAUAUUGCACAAUGGGCGCAAGCCUGAUGCAGCCAUGCCGCGUGUAUGAAGAAGGCCUUCGGGUUGUAAAGUACUUUCAGCGGGGAGGAAGGCGAUAAGGUUAAUAACCUUGUCGAUUGACGUUACCCGCAGAAGAAGCACCGGCUAACUCCGUGCCAGCAGCCGCGGUAAUACGGAGGGUGCAAGCGUUAAUCGGAAUUACUGGGCGUAAAGCGCACGCAGCGGUCUGUCAAGUCAGGAUGUGAAAUCCCCGGGCUCAACCUGGGGAACUGCAUUCUAAACUGGCAGGCUAGAGUCUUUGUAGAGGGGGGUAGAAUUCCAGGUGUAGCGGUGAAAUGCGUAGAGAUCUGGAGGAAUACCGGUGGCGAAAGCCGGCCCCCUGGACAAAGACUGACGCUCAGGUGCGAAAAGCUGGGGGAGCAAACGGGAUUA